rnacentral:rRNA from 1 species
GACGAACGCUGGCGGCGUGCCUAAUACAUGCAAGUAGAACGCAGUUGCGAACGGGUGAGUAACGCGUAGGUAACUGCCUCAUAGCGGGGGAUAACUAUUGGAAACGAUAGCUAAUACCGCAUACUGUAAGAUGGACCUGCGUUGUAUUAGCUAGUUGGUGAGGUAAAGACUCACCAAGCAGACGAUACAUAGCCGACCUGAGAGGAUGAUCGGCAAAACUUGGACGGAGACACGGCCCAGACUCCUACGGAGGGCAGCAGUAGGGAAUCUUAGGCAAUAGACGAGAGUCUGACCGAGGAACGCCGCGUGGUUGAGGAAGGUUUUCGGAUCGUAAAGCUCUGUUGUUAGGAAAGCGUGAACUAACCAGAAAGGUACGGCUUACUACGUGCCAGCAGCCGCGGUAAUGC